CCUUUUUCAAGCCCUUCUGUGUUAGGACUGCAUGCAUCUUAACUUGUCAUAAAUUGAAACUGCCAGUAUCAUCAAACUUCUCAAUAUCAAAUAAUGAAAAAGCCAUAGCGAUCGAUCUCAUGAAAUUGGCUCUAAAAUCAGUUUGUUAUGAAAGAUAUGAGAAAGAGAGAAGAAAAAAUACACUGACACGUAAUUUACGUGGUUCGGCUAUGUGCCUACUCCAC
rnacentral:lncRNA from 1 species